rnacentral:piRNA from 1 species
UGGGCUUAACUUGUGGUCAAAACUUGGAG